GGGGGUCUUUCUAACAGAGGCCAUCUCAGCGUCCAUUAGAUAUCCCCUGCUGGAAACAGUCGCCUCCAGGCCCCAGUAGAAACUACAAUUGAGGGCUAAUGGGCCAUGGAGGGGAUUUCUAGCAGAGGCUAGAGUCUAAUGGGGCCUGGAGGGUGGUCUCUCCAACACUCUGGUUCCUAUUCACAAUAUAGCAACACAACAUAACUCGCUGAUACCUAAGCCAAGUUGGCUCCUCUUACCUUAAUUACUGUUGCUGGCUGGCAG